AUCUUUGCGCUUGGGGCAAUGACGCAGCUAGUGAGGUUCUAACCGAGGCGCGUCUAUUGCUGGUUGAAAACUAUUUCCAAACCCCCUCUUAGGCCUGGGUUCAGCCUGGGCCUUCGAGAAUUUCUGGAAGGGCUCCCUUUGGGGUAAAGCC
rfam:Gossypium hirsutum cultivar TM-1 chromosome 9, whole genome shotgun sequence